UACGUAGGGGGCAAGCGUUGUCCGGAAUCAUUGGGCGUAAAGAGCGUGUAGGCGGCCAUGCAGGUCAGCUGUGAAAACUCGAGGCUCAACCUCGAGACGUCGGUUGAAACCGCAUGGCUAGAGUCCGGAAGAGGAGAGUGGAAUUCCCGGUGUAGCGGUGAAAUGCGCAGAUAUCGGGAAGAACACCUAUGGCGAAGGCAGCUCUCUGGGACGGUACUGACGCUGAGACGCGAAAGCGUGGGGAGCAAACAGG
rnacentral:rRNA from 1 species